UUCAGUUUAUUUUAUUUAUUUUCCAGACAGACACAUCAAUUUCUGGACCACAGUAGAGGAUGGAAACCUUUCACAGACAUUUUUUUGUCAAUAUUAUUAUUUGAAAAUACAAAUAUAAAAUUAGACUUUCCACAUUUGAUAUGUGAGAGACCCCCAUCCAGUAUUAUUAUUAUUAUUUUUUUCUUUUUAGUAUAUUUUACAACAGGGCUUAAGCAAGCCAUAUGAUAACCUGAAAGAUGCUUUCAGAUGUCAGUCAAGUCUGUCUGUCUCUCGCCAUAAAAAGUCGGUUAACAUAAAAAAAAGGGGCAAGUGUUAGGAAUGGGCAGACAGCAGUGAAGAGAGCUCUGUGCUCAGCCUGCAGAAACACGGAAGCACAGCAGAGCCUCACACUGCCGUCCAUGCAGUCUGAAGAGCUUCCAAGCCCCCCUCUAGGCCAUGCAGUCUGCUCCAAACUCGACAACACGCCAGGGGUGAACUCUCGUGUUGGUGAACAUAAGCUAAUAAUGACACUUUGACUAUAUGAACCUGGUUUUAGCUGUUUGAGGAGUAUAUCUGUAUACAGCUGAGGUCUCCAGUCUAAUAUUGUUCAGACAAGUUUAAAUGAGGGCUGUGUGAAAAUUGCAAAUAUAUAUUCAUCUACACACAUAUAUAUUGCAAUUGUGUGUGUAUAUAUUUAGCAAUGAGCGUGGGUGAGAUGGCAAUGGUUUGGACUGAAGGGGAAAUUCACCCUAAAACACAAUAUUUCUGUCAUCUUGAAGACUUCAGUCUGCGUUUGUGAGCAUGAACAAAUCUUUGUUAUAUCCUGAAACAAGAGAGUGGACACUAUAAAUGGUGAGAGUCACUUUGCGGACUGGGAGACUAACUUUGUGGUCACUGUGACAGUAUCCAGUAUCUCUCAGAGAUAAGGGCACAUUGUCUGGUUUAAAACCAUUAGCACCACUAUGAAUAAGCCUCUUUUGGGUAUAAAUGCUCAAGAACAUUAAAUGAGCCUUCAAAGUCAGUCUAAUUCACUCGAAAUGGAGCAGAGCCUGAAACAGUUGUUCAUAUUCAUAAAACAGAUUCAUAUCCAAGAUGACAGGAAUGUGUGUGUGUGUGUGUGUCUGUGUGUGUGUCAGUGUGUGUGUGUGUGUGUCAGUGUGGUGGGAUUUCCCAGAGCGGAUGGGAUAAAUUGUUUGGCCAUUGCCUAGCACUUGCCUCAAGAUUCAAGUUUAAAUGGAUACGGUAGUACACUACAAAUGUCAACACCUUCCAGGUUGACUUUUUUUCUUUUUUGAUUAUUUUUCUUAAACCAAGUCCCCUCCCUCUCCCCGAAUGGAUAAGCUAGUCUACUAAGAUGUGUAACAUUCAUCAGCUGUAAACUGCUGUCAGUUUGAGAUAAAAUGAAAUUACAGCAACAGAGCCAUGCUACCUUAAAGUCCAAGCUACAGGAUCACAAAACAAUAGAGGAGGCCAUUUUAAUAUUGUGUAAGGGGAAAUGAGCCAUUUUUUCUUUUUAAGUGGAAACAGUUAAUAAUAGCGUGAGAGCCAUCAGGCGCUGCAACAGUGAAAAAAAAAUGAAAAAAAAGAAGAUUCUCUACUUGUUGCACUGUUAUUUGUCUUUUAGGUGAAAUGGCAACACGACUGGAACCAACCACAGCUCCUAAUGAGCUUCUUGUGUGGGUUCGUAGGUGGCAUUAAUUAUUAAAUAAAUUAUUCAGAUUAAUAAAUUCAAAAGGAAAUUGCUACAAAUGAACAGGAGGAACACUUUCUUUUAUCCCAUAAGAAUAAAACUAAGUUGAUACACUUAAAUGCUUUGAUUAUUGUUAUAUUUAUUGUUAUUUCUAAUAUUCAGAUAUUUUUAACACUAAAAUGUGCAAAUGAGGUGACAUUUUUUGAGGAUAAGCAUUAAUACCUGGGACAUGUUAAGUUUUCAAUUCAUUCUUGUUUUACUUUCCUUAGUUUAAAAAAACACUUUGGGGAAAAUACUGUUUUUUUGUGUCCAAUGAUCACUUUACAAUAAAAUUGGAUAAUAUUUGUCUUGCUAAACGUGGACAUUAGCUGCUUUUGGAAUGAUUUUUUCUUUGCCUGUUUUUAAAUAUCUUGAUGGAUUCAUUGGAAUAAUGUAUUGAUUAGCGUCACUAACAAAGCUGCCAUUACUGUACAUACAGUAUCUCAUUUGACAGUCUAUACUGGAUGACAAGAAUGAACAGAUACUAAUGGUAGUUAUUAAUGUGACAAUGUUCAAUCUUAACACCCCACAAGGUGAAAUAAACUAAAUAACUGAUAUAAAAUGCAAAUUGUCUUUGAUAAAAAUUAUUUUUUAAAAAACAAUCUGCUGUUGGAGUGUGAACACAGCUUGAGCUGGGAAGCUGAAUUGGCUUCACAACAGAUUUGUUUUUAGCUUGAAACAGGCACACAGCUGCUCCUGUCUCACCUCUGGAUGUCCUGUGGGACCUUUUGAGGAAACUGCACUUCAAUCAUUUAAAUCUGAAGUUGGAAUAUGUGUAGUUUUUUGUACUUAUUAUAAUAAUCUCAUCUUGUCUGAUUUAGCUCAGCACUCAGCUUCAGGGUGCCGCUCCCACAUCAGGAGAUUUAACCAUCUAUUAAUCAGCCUCAAAAUGCACUCCAACCUGUAACACCUGCUGCUAUUCCUGUUAAAGUCAGAGCUUUUUUGUUUCAUGCAGUCUUUUUACUCUAAUGCCUCUAUAAUGUCAAUAUGUGUGAAUGCCAUUUAUAAUUAUGAAACAAAAUACUAGUGCCCAGGGUUUAAGAUUUAAAAAUACUAAUGAAAGUUUUAAGAGAAAUGAAAGUCUGAAUGAGAUUAAAAUCAGUAUUAUUUAAAAAUAAUUAUGCCAGAGGCAUCUGGGAUAUUUCCAAGGUGUACAAAACAUUAAAAGAUAUAACAGAUAAAACAGCACUAUGACUCAUAUCAUGACUAUUGUGGUCAUCAUUGGUAUGUCACUUAAAAAAAUAUUAAAGAUUUUUUUUUUUUUUUUUACAUAAAAUUGUAUUCAUGAUUAUAGCUUGUGUCCCUCUUUAAGAAAACCCAAAAAACAAUCAAAAAUAAACGUUUUGCAUAUCUAGCAUUAGCAUUUAAGGUAGUAUGGCACACCCCUUUUAAAACAUUCAAGGGUGGGGAUCCAAAUAAUGCCUUGUGUACAAUUCCAUCUUACAGCAACGGUUUCUCUAUUGUUCAUCCAUGAGAGCUUUGGUUAGCUGAAACCAUGUGAGAGUGGUAAAACCAACAGAAAACAUACAGGGAAUAAAUUACAAGGAACCUCUAAACAAAAAAUAAUUGUCUGCAAAUAUAUCUGAAUAACAUGAUCAUUUAGAGAAAGGUCUAUCUUGACUGGUCCUAAAUCCACUAUUCACUACAAGUAUUAUAUUAAUGAGUCCUAUAUAACAUCUACUUGUAAUUACAGGAGAUAGAAAAAGAGCGCGAGAGGGAGAGGGAUAAAUAUGAGAGAAAGGAGAGGUAGAGCGAGGGAGAACAACAAAGAGCACUACACUGGUAUCAAAGACAGCACUCUGUUUACAAGUUAACUGUGAUCUCUUUACACACUAAUGAAAUACAUGAAUGAUCAACAAAAGAUAGUAGGGUUUCUGAGGAUGGGGAAUGGAAAGAGAGAAAGCAAUGGAUGCACAGUACAUUUUAAUAGUAUAUUACAAUUAUUAAUAUAUAAACCACAAAGUAUCAAUAAAACUCUGAUUAAACUUGAAAUCAGCAAAGAAGCAUCUUUCUUUUUUUUUUAUAGUUUUGUAUUUCUUAUUUUCUUUUACAUUUGAACAUUACAAGGGUAUUUUUUUUUCUCUUUACUCUUUAAAUUAUUACUUGAUCACACCUCCAUGUCAUUUACUUUAAAAGUAUCCAGCAUAUUUCUUUACCUGGUUGUUUUGAAAUGAAAAGUAAUGAGACAAGAACUGGGUAAAAUGAAAAACAACAAAUACAUCUGCAGCAGGUAAAGUAUUUCAGAAGACACACCAUUCAUUCCAUCAGUGACUUUAAAAACCGGACUGCACUCUGGAGCACUAUUAUUAUUAUUAUUAUUAUUAUCAUCAUUAUUAUUAAAUGUUUGUCAUGAGUGAAAUCAUUAACCACACAUACUGUGUAAAACCUGGUGCAGCGACAAAUAGUGAAUAAUUCAGUGUCAUCUUUUGACCCUGUAUAAAUACCUUUAGAUGAGUCAUGGGUCUAAUAUAUAAAGAAAUCCAAAGGUGUUGCCUCAGUACACUGCGACAUGUCAGUUACUAUUUCCCAAGCUGUUAACUCACCUCACAAUUUUGAAGCGUUUGUCUAGUUUAGAAUACAUUAACCCCAAAAAAUCCUUCAUACUAUCCCAAAGCACAGGGCCGUUUUUUUUGUUUUUUUUUAAAAAGCCAACAUAUACAUGUGCAAAUAGGAAAUGGCCUGUACUUUACUACUCACAGUGCAAUGAUUACUCGCUUUAUUACCUUUCAGUGUUUUCAUUUAUUUUGCCACUAGAAAUAAAUUAAAACCUGCCAAUGAUUUCCACGGUAGAACUCACAAGGCUGAGGUAUGGUAUCAAAAUGUUUACUUUCCUAAUUCAUUCAAAAAAGAACUGAUUCAGAGAACGAGCGUUUUACAUAAAAGGCUCUCGCACAGAGCCCAAGAUAUUCGUGUUCCAAAAAUGAAUCAGGAACAAGCAGGAUGUAACCAACAGUAACAUACGACUAACAAGAUCCUCUCAGGAGUAUAAAAGUGUCAGGAUGCACAGAGCACUGUAAAAUGCCUGGUUCAAGUUCUAAUCUUCACAUCUAAGUACAGUGUGCUUUGGAUUAAAUCAUCUUUUUUUUUUUCACUCUCUCUUUGAAAUGAUACUGAUAUCUUAACAGUUAGACAAAAAGAUACCAAUCAGGAUCUUUUUUUUUUUUUUUUUUUUUUUUUAAAUUAUUAUUAUUAUUUGUUAAAACUGUGUUGAUUUAACUCACUGGUUGUAAAUUUGCUGGUAUGACACUUGUAAAAUUAUUCAGCUUCGGUAUUUACAGAGCAAGUGUGUUCUGUUUGUCUCCGGGGUCGUUACCGUCUUCCAGCAGAAAAGUAGAAUAAUAAGUGUUUACAGCUUUUUCUUCUAUUCACACGCUAUAACAUGUUUCUUUGACACACCAUCACAAAAAUAUGCUAUUCUCUCACUGAGUUGGUUAUAUGCAGUGACUGGAAUAAUAUGUACAGCUACAUUUCUUUUUCUCAAGUUUGAAUUCACAAUGUAGUUAUAUGAAAUUUGUUAUAGCAUAUAUAUAUAUUUCUAAACAACAAAAACAACACUUAUAAAAAAGGACCAUAAAAAUAUUGGAGUCCUCUUUGUAUUGCCCAAAAAUAGGUAAUUAUGGUUAACAAUGAGACAUCACAAGAAAUAAAACAGCUACUAAGAUUUAUUACUUAGAUACCCUCUUAAAUUUUUCCUUAAACUUGAUUUUUUUUUUCUGCGAGUCUUUCCACACUGAGCUUCCUUUGUUUUUUUUUUAAGUGGAAAGACUGAAAUGCAACAUCCAAUCCGCUUUUCCUUUACACUAACCGAUACAAAGAUGAAGACAUGACUUGCAGAUAUUCUUGGCUAUGACCCCCCGUACUUUAAGUUCAAACAAAAUCCAUUUACACAAAUAUACUAGAAGAUAAAAUAAAAGCAACACCAAAAAAAAAUCAAGGUUGAACUAAAAUAAGUUUCCUAAAAACUAAUCAGAACAAAAAAAAAAGAAAAAGAAAAAGUAAAA